GACGAACGCUGGCGGCGUGCUUAACACAUGCAAGUCGAAUGGAAAGGCCCUGCUUUUGUGGGGUGCUCGAGUGGCGAACGGGUGAGUAACACGUGAGUAACCUGCCCUUGACUUUGGGAUAACUUCAGGAAACUGGGGCUAAUACCGGAUAGGAGCUCCUGCUGCAUGGUGGGGGUUGGAAAGUUUCGGCGGUUGGGGAUGGACUCGCGGCUUAUCAGCUUGUUGGGGGGGUAGUGGCUUACCAAGGCUUUGACGGGUAGCCGGCCUGGGAGGGUGACCGGCCACAUUGGGACUGAGAUACGGCCCAGACUCCUACGGGAGGCAGCAGUGGGGAAUAUUGCACAAUGGGCGGAAGCCUGAUGCAGCAACGCCGCGUGCGGGAUGACGGCCUUCGGGUUGUAAACCGUUUUCGCCUGUGACGAAGCGUGAGUGACGGUAAUGGGUAAAGAAGCACCGGCUAACUACGUG
rnacentral:rRNA from 1 species